GGUUGAGAGUUGACCAUGAGAAAAAGGGCGAUGGGGUGAAAGUUGACCAUGAGAAAAACAGCAAUAGGGUGAGAGUUUACCAUAAGAAAGAAGCGAUGGGGAUAGAGUUGACCAUGAGAAAAAGAGCGAUGGGGUGAGAGUUCACCAUGAGAAAAAUAGCGAUGGGGUGAGAGUUCACCAUAAGAAAGAGCAAUGGGCGAAGAGUUCACAAUGAGAAAGAACGAUGGGGUGGGACUUCACCAUAAGAAAAAGCGAUGGGGUAAAAGUUCACCAUGAGAAAAAGAGUGAUAGAGUGACAGGUGACCAUGAGGAAAAGAGCGAUGCGGUGAGAGUUGAGCAUGAGAAAAAGAGCGAUGGGGCGAGAGUUCACUAUGAGAGAAAGAGCGCUGGGGUGAGAGUUGACCAUGA